GAUGAACGCUGGCGGCGUGCCUAAUACAUGCAAGUCGAACGGGGAGUAGCAAUACUCUUAGUGGCGAACGGGUGAGUAACGCGUUGGUACCUGCCCCGAAGCGGGGGAUAACGGACCGAAAGGUCCGCUAAUACCCCAUGUGCUCGGUAACGAGUAAAGGUGAAAACCACUUUGGGAGGGGCAUGCGUCCCAUCAGCUAGUUGGUAAGGUAACGGCUUACCAAGGCGAUGACGGGUAGGGGACCUGAGAGGGUGGCCCCCCACAAUGGAACUGAAACACGGUCCAAACACCUAGGGGUGGGAGGGGAAGGGAAGAGUGGAAAGGGGCGCAAGAGGGAACCCGCAGCGCCGGGGGGGCAAUACCGGCCUUCGGGUUGUAAAGCACUUUUGACUGGGACGAGAAAGGACGGUACCGGUAAAAACAGCCCCGGCUAACUGCGU
rnacentral:rRNA from 1 species